UGAUAAAGAGGGGAGUCAAACCCCUGUUAAUAGGA
rnacentral:tRNA from 1 species